rnacentral:rRNA from 1 species
GAUGAACGCUGGCGGCGUGCCUAAUACAUGCAAGUCGAGCGAACGGACGAGAAGCUUGCUUCUCUGAUGUUAGCGGCGGACGGGUGAGUAACACGUGGAUAACCUACCUAUAAGACUGGGAUAACUUCGGGAAACCGGAGCUAAUACCGGAUAAUAUUUUGAACCGCAUGGUUCAAAAGUGAAAGACGGUCUUGCUGUCACUUAUAGAUGGAUCCGCGCUGCAUUAGCUAGUUGGUAAGGUAACGGCUUACCAAGGCAACGAUGCAUAGCCGACCUGAGAGGGUGGUCGGCCACACUGGAACUGAGACACGGUCCAGACUCCUACGGGAGGCAGCAGUAGGGAAUCUUCCGCAAUGGGCGGAAGCCUGACGGAGCAACGCCGCGUGAGUGAUGAAGGUCUUCGGAUCGUAAAACUCUGUUAUUAGGGAAGAACAUAUGUGUAAGUAACUGUUCACAUCUUGACGGUACCUAAUCAGAAAGCCACGGCUAACUACGUG